AACUGUUUGGUACACAGUUAUUAAGACAGUUAUAAGACAGUUGUAGGCAUUUGGCAGACAGUUGACCCCACAACCGUUGGCACACAGUUGAGCAGGCUGUGGACAGACAGUUGGGCAGGCAGUUGCUGACAUGACAGGUGGACAGUCAGUCGGUUUCAAGCCACAUGGUUGAUGGGACAGUUAAAAUCAGUACGUCGGUUGUUAGUCAGUUGUGAGACAGUUGGAAGGCAGUUGGUGGGCAGUUAGCAGGCAAUCAGGCAGAUGAUGUGGUGGCAGACACUUUAUGGGCACUUACUAAGUAAAAAAAAGGUAGUUACCGCAGGCACACACAUUAUUGUUGGUGGUCAGGACACUAGUAAUAUAUAUAUAGGUGGGUUGGCAGUUGGCAAAAAGUCAAGUCAAUACACAGUUCAGAGGCAGUUGGCUGACAGAUCGGAGACAGUUGGCCAAACAGUUGCCUGACUGUUGAAAAACAAUUCGUGGUAGGUCGUUGGGAGGAAGUUGAUGAACACAGCUAGCAGACAGUUAGGAACACGCGCUGAAUUUAACUGGCAUGGCCACACCGAGGCAUGGAUCCAUCCGGAUGGGAGUGUGGGCUACACAGCAGCCUGGCUCCUGUGCAGCAGGNGCCAGCAGCCUUCUUUCUGGUAUCAAGGAUCCAGUACUAUCGGUGGCAGCACAGCGCAGGAAGAGGACACGAUGCUGCCCAGACAUUGCUUCACAGGGAGGAGGGGCCUGUGUGUAGUAUGAGNN
rnacentral:lncRNA from 1 species